AAAUGAUGGUUCAACUCCUUCCCUUACUA
rnacentral:tRNA from 3 species